rnacentral:rRNA from 1 species
UACAGAGGUGGCAAGCGUUGUUCGGAAUUACUGGGCGUAAAGGGCGCGUAGGCGGCCUUCUAAGUCAGACGUGAAAUCCCCCGGCUUAACCUGGGAACUGCGUCUGAUACUGGAGGGCUUGAGUGCGGGAGAGGGAUGUGGAAUUCCAGGUGUAGCGGUGAAAUGCGUAGAUAUCUGGAGGAAUACCGGUGGCGAAGGCGGCAUCCUGGACCGGCAUUGACGCUGAGGAGCGAAAGCUAGGAGAGCAAACGGG